GUCAUGAGGGUGUACACAGCGGGGAUACAGUCCCCUGGUGCCUCCAUGCGAUAGCCACCCUCCACUCGCUCUAUCACCUCCUUUAGAGACUGCAGCACCCAGGACACACAAGCGACCUCUUUCCUCAGAGCUUCAGGGGCACUCCAGCGAACAGGCAGUUUGGCACGUUGGUUAUCCCACACCCUGGAGGUCGUCCUAGUCAAGCCGAAGUCGCUGACCUUGGCCACAUCAUUGUCAGACACCAAGAUGUUGCGAGCCGCCAGGUCUCUGUGAACCAGUUUCUUGGAUUCCAGACGCUGACACACAGCACGUAGUCACCAGGGUGUCUGAUCGACUCUCGCACCAGGAACAAGCCGUCCUGGGCCGGUUGCAGCUUGCGGACAGCCUCUGGGCCUGAGAUCUUCCCGUGAAACCAUCUGCUGGAGACAGGCGGCAUAUUAGUUCCAUUUGUUGUUGUCUAGUUUUCCAACAUGGACUGAAGUUCUUGGGAACAAUAUGGCCUAUGUUGCAGGGAACACAAAUACAGUGGGAGGAAAAAGUAUGUGAACCCUUUGGAAUUUCCUACAUUUCUGCAUAAAUUGGUCAUCAAAUGUACAACGUAGGAUGAUCUUCAUCUAAAUCACAAUAAUAAACAGUUUACUUAAACUAAUACCACAGAAAC